GAUGAACGCUGGCGGCGUGCCUAAUACAUGCAAGUCGAGCGAACGGACGAGAAGCUUGCUUCUCUGAUGUUAGCGGCGGACGGGCGAGUAACACGUGGAUAACCUACCUAUAAGACUGGGAUAACUUCGGGAAACCGGAGCUAAUACCGGAUGAUAUUUUGAACCGCAUGGUUCAAAAGUGAAAGACGGUCUUGCUGUCACUUAUAGAUGGAUCCGCGCUGCAUUAGCUAGUUGGUAAGGUAACGGCUUACCAAGGCAACGAUGCAUAGCCGACCUGAGAGGGUGAUCGGCCACACUGGAGCUGAGACACGGUCCAGACUCCUACGGGAGGCAGCAGUAGGGAAUCUUCCGCAAUGGGCGAAAGCCUGACGGAGCAACGCCGCGUGAGUGAUGAAGGUCUUCGGAUCGUAAAACUCUGUUAUUAGGGAAGAACAUAUGUGUAAGUAACUGUGCACAUCUUGACGGUACCUAAUCAGAAAGCCACGGCUAACUACGUG
rnacentral:rRNA from 1 species